AUAGGUUAGCUUUCUUCGUAAGUUGGCAGCCCCUAACAUAGCGGCACUUUUGCAUUGCAUGCUAUUUAAUUUAAAUGAAAUUUAUAUACAUAUUUGAACAUAUGUAUAUAUUUAUAACAUUUGUUAUUUAUUUGCUUAUAUUUUAAUCUAACAAGUUUGAAAUGGCUCCAGGAAACGCAAAACGGACAAUCUUUCUUGGAUUUCGUGAUGCCAUAACAGAAGCCAUUGCCAAAAACAUAAUAUCUCCAGUUGGAAAUUUAAUUCCAACUGAUUUUCAAUCUAUAUUACUUAUUGUUAACAAUAAGUUUAUAGAGCGAAAUUGGACAGAUUUUCAACUGGCAGAUAAUGUUAAGAAUCGAAAAGCUAUUACGAAAAGUUUUAAACGCUUUCAGGCUGCCUACUCAAAAGAACGCCAGGACGUAUCUAAUGGUAGUAAUCAUGUAAGCUGUAAACUAGAAAUUAGCAAUAAUAUUAGUGAUAUGUCUAGCAUAGAAAAUAAUAAUUCUAAUUAUAGUGUUAAUAAGCCUACAAAUUGUCCGUCUGAGUUAAAUAAUGACGCAAGCUUUG